rnacentral:rRNA from 1 species
UACAGAGGGUGCAAGCGUUGUUCGGAAUUACUGGGCGUAAAGCGCGCGUAGGUGGCUAUGCAAGUCCUGUGUGAAAGCCUCAGGCUCAACCUGAGAGGGUCAUGGGAAACUACAUAGCUGGAGUAUGGGAGAGGAGAGUGGAAUUCCCGGUGUAGAGGUGAAAUUCGUAGAUAUCGGGAGGAACACCAGAGGCGAAAGCGGCUCUCUGGCCCAUUACUGACACUCUGGCGCGAAAGCGUGGGUAGCAAACAGG